rnacentral:tRNA from 1 species
UUUAGAAUAGUUUAUUAAAAUGUCAAUUUGUGGUAUUGUUGUAGAUUUUUCUUCUGUUUAUUUUUGGG